rnacentral:lncRNA from 1 species
CCCAUUCCCGAUCACCCGGUUGGAUCCAUCAUCGGACCCCAAGAGGAGUCCGCGCAGCCCAGCCGGCAUCCCGAAACUCCUCCUUCAGCGGGAACCGAAGCAGAAGAGCGAUCAAGGAGGUCCUCACCACAGGACUCCUAUGGGUCCGACCCUGGGUCUCCCGCAGGCCCCUCUGGCAGUCCUCUUCCCACCCGCCGCCUCUGGCUGUGCCGCCGCCGCCGCCGACGCAACCUCCAGCACCGCCGCCCCAGGCCCCGCAGCCGCCGCGUCGCCGCCAUUUUUUAAAGGGUCCGCAGCCUGACUCUGCGGAGUAAGGGGGGGUGGAGCGGGGGAGUCGGCCUCGCCAGUGCGCAUGCGCGAGGCCCGAGCCGCCGCUUGGGCCACAGUGAAAGCCACCGUUGCCCGGGGAUGGGUCCCUGACACUUGGCGAAGUAGCAGCCCUGUGUGAUCGUGCGUCUGAGUCUGGGCUGAGACCAGUCCUGGCCAGGGUAGUUACCAGGACGGUCUCCGGAGGCCGGGAUUCGCGGAGGGUCCACCAGCAGGAAGAAACCCCAGGAGGAAGAAACCUCAGACAGAUCGCCGGCGAGGCAGCGCGGGAUCCCAGCCUCAGGCGUGCGCGGACGGUGUGCGGCGCACACAACCAAGCUUAGGAGCCGACUGUUAAGAUGCCCCAGUGACACGGACAAGUUUCUCCUCUGCAACCCAAUGAGAGCUGCUGACCACGAGAGCAUCGCGGGACCGCCAAAGGAUUCUGGAAAAUGUGGUCCCGGGUGGCCAGUGUGCGCUGACCUUCACCUGAAGGUACGGCUUGAAGGAAACUUCUGGAGGGUGGGGUGGUGUUGAAGAGAAGGCACAAUUGUCACCAUUUUGUUCAACAUGGGCGUUUUCUUUGUGCAUUGAUUUGCAUUUUUAAAGAGUCUCGCUCCGUCACCCAGGCUGGAGUGCAAUGGCAAGAUCUCAGCUCACUGAAGCCUCCACCUUCCGGGUUCAAGCGAUUCUCCUGCCUCAGCCUCCCAAGUAGCUGGGAUUACAGGCGUGUGCCACCAUACCCGGCUAAUUUUUGUAUUUUUAGUAGAGACGGGGUUUCGCCAUGUUGGCCAGCCUGGUCUCAAACUCCUGACCUCAGGUGAUACCCCCACCUCAGUCUCCCAAAGUGCUGGGAUUACAGGUGUGAGCCACCAGGCCCGGCCAAGCUGAACAGUUCUAAGCUGUUAGGAUCAUUGCCUCUAUUAUCACCAUGACAUCAGGUCACCACCAAACCGUCAAGUGCUAAACAGACAGAAUGUUUCCACUCCUGAUCCACUGUGUGGAGAAGCA